rnacentral:rRNA from 1 species
UACGUAGGGUGCGAGCGUUGUCCGGAAUUAUUGGGCGUAAAGGGCGCGUAGGCGGUUUGACAAGUCUGAUGUGAAAUCUCUGGGCUCAACCCAGAGUCUGCAUUAGAAACUGUCGGGCUUGAGUAUGGGAGAGGUGAGUGGAAUUUCCGGUGUAGCGGUGAAAUGCGUAGAAUAUCGGAAGGAACACCUGUGGCGAAAGCGGCUCACUGGACCAUAACUGACGCUGAGGCGCGAAAGCUAGGGGAGCAAACAGG